rnacentral:tRNA from 2 species
UGGAGCGGUGUCCGAGGGGUUUAAGGAGACGGUCUUGAAAACCGCUGUACCGCAAGGUACCGGGGGUUCGAAUCCCCCCUGCUCCGA